AUUGAACGCUAGCGGGAUGCUUUACACAUGCAAGUAGAACGAGUGGCGGACGGGUGAGGAAUAUAUCGGAACGUGCCCAGUAGCGGGGGAUAACUACUCGAAAGAGUGGCCAAUACCGCAUACCAUCGGAGCGGCCGAGAUGGGAUUAGCUUGUGGGUGGGGUAAAGGCGCACCAAGGCAACGAUCCGUAGCUGGUUUGAGAGGACGACCAGCAACACUGGGACUGAGACACGGCCCAGACUCCUACGGGGGGCGGCAGUGGGGAAUGUUGGACAAUGGGGGAAACCCUGAUGCAGGCAUCCCGCGUGUAUGAGAAGGCCUUCGGUUUGUAAAGUACUUUGGGCAGAGAAGCGGUAUCUGCAGAAUAAGCGCCGGCUAACUCCGUGCCAGCAGCCGCGGUAAUUC
rnacentral:rRNA from 1 species